AUUGAACGCUGGCGGCAUGCCUUACACAUGCAAGUCGAACGGUAACGCGGGGCAACCUGGCGACGAGUGGCGAACGGGUGAGUAAUACAUCGGAACGUGCCCAGUAGUGGGGGAUAGCCCGGCGAAAGCCGGAUUAAUACCGCAUACGACCUACGGGUGAAAGCGGGGGAUCGCAAGACCUCGCGCUAUUGGAGCGGCCGAUGUCAGAUUAGGUAGUUGGUGGGGUAAAAGCCUACCAAGCCUACGAUCUGUAGCUGGUCUGAGAGGACGACCAGCCACACUGGGACUGAGACACGGCCCAGACUCCCACGGGAGGCAGCAGUGGGGAAUUUUGGACAAUGGGCGCAAGCCUGAUCCAGCCAUGCCGCGUGCGGGAAGAAGGCCUUCGGGUUGUAAACCGCUUUUGUCAGGGAAGAAACGCUCUGGGCUAAUACCCCGGGGUAAUGACGGUACCUGAAGAAUAAGCACCGGCUAACUACGUGCCAGCAGCCGCGGUAACAC
rnacentral:rRNA from 1 species